rnacentral:rRNA from 1 species
UACGGAGGGAGCUAGCGUUGUUCGGAAUUACUGGGCGUAAAGCGCACGUAGGCGGCUUUGUAAGUUAGAGGUGAAAGCCCGGGGCUCAACUCCGGAACUGCCUUUAAGACUGCAUCGCUUGAAUCCGAGAGAGGUGAGUGGAAUUCCGAGUGUAGAGGUGAAAUUCGUAGAUAUUCGGAAGAACACCAGUGGCGAAGGCGGCUCACUGGACCGGUAUUGACGCUGAGGUGCGAAAAGCGUGGGGAGCAAACAGG